UGGGAAGUACAUUACAAAAACAACUUUAGUAUUCUAGUUAUGAGAUAUGGUAUUUUUAAGCAAUCACUACAAGAAAACACCACAAAUCGGAAGGUAUCGACAACAUACAAUAAGAGACGGCACUGAAAUUAAAAAGGAAAGAAAAAUGUAGAAUAUAUAGCAUUGGUAAGUUUCGAAACGCUAUGUAUUGUUGUCGCAAAGUUCGCCAAGUUCGUACAAGUUCACGCUAUGUAUACUUGUACGUGAGUAUUUUAUUCAACAACAAUAAAAUACUCACGUACAAGUAUUUUAAUUUCAUAAGAUUUCUGCAGACAACUACCUUCUUGUUGUUUUGUCAAGCAACCUUCUUGCGAAGAUGUCAUGAUUAGAAUAUAUGCUAACUGGUGCUACUGAACAAAACCUGUUUGCAUUAUGUGAGAAAAAGAGGGAUGGUCACACCACUAAGCUUCACAACUUUGGAGUGUCUUUGCAGCUUCAGUUCCGGACUAUUUAUAAUAUCUCGAAGGUUCUUUGUGCUGCAUCAAAAUAACAGACCAUUAAACAAGAGUGUCGGUGAGACGUGAUGGACUCAAGAGGCGCCUAAGGGCAUUUCUCUGACCUAUAAAUAAGAUACAGCUCAUUCAACCAAAGUCUCGCCCUGAACCAGUUUCCAAAAACUCAUCACCUAAGAGUACUAGUGUUAGUGUAAGUAACAACACCAACACCAUCAAAGGUGGAAAGAAGAAAUGCAUCCUCUUAAAUUGCUCCGAAAUAGGAGAAAAAAGCGCUAAUGCUACCAAGGUUUGAGUAGAAGUUUCUUGGUGAUGCACCAGUCUGGAGACCAAAUUCAGAAGUCGAAAUCAUUGCUGUUGCAUUAGCUACUACAGUGGCUUGGCCAAGUGACAAAAUAGUUUUUAUCUGAAACAUUGUCUUUGUGUGUGUUACAUAACUUGUUAUCAGAUGUGGCUUUGCUUAAUAACUUGUUAUCUCUUACUUUUUAGA